rnacentral:rRNA from 1 species
GUGCCAGCAGCCGCGGUAAUACCGGCAGUCCAAGUGAUGGCCGAUAUUAUUGGGCCUAAAGCGUCCGUAGCCUGCUGUGUAAGUCCAUUGGGAAAUCGACGCGCUCAACGCGUCGGCGUCCGGUGGAAGCUACACAGCUUGGGGCCGGAAGGCUCGAAGGGUACGUGCGGGGUAGGAGUGAAAUCCCAUAAUCCCGCACGGACCACCGAUGGCGAAAGCACUUCGAGAAAACGGAUCCGACAGUGAGGGACGAAAGCCAGGGUCUCCAACCGGAUUAGAUACCCGGGUAGUCC